rnacentral:rRNA from 1 species
AUGUUUGUGCAUGACCUACACUUGGAUCAACAAACCAACGAUGACAUUAUUUGGAAACACGCCAACGAUGGGUCCUACUCCGCGGCCACCGCCUACAAGGCUCAGUUUCUUGGACUGACACUUUCGCCUAUGAACUUUAUGAUCUGGAAGGCUUGGGCCCCUCCUAAGAUCAAGUUUUUUGCUUGGUUGGCUAUCCAAGACCGGAUUUGGACAGCCGACAUAUUAGAGCGGCGCGGUUGGCAAAACUGUGGACUUUGCCCGCUUUGCAAACGUGUUGGCAAGACGGGUGCACACCUCUUCUACAAAUGCCGCUACACCAUAAUGUUAGAAUAA